CAUCUAGGCGGUCAAUCAAGUCGAAGGUGAAAUCCCCGGGCUCAACCUGGGAACUGCAUUCGAAACUGGCAGGCUGGAGUCUUGUAGAGGGGGGUAGAAUUCCAGGUGUAGCGGUGAAAUGCGUAGAGAUCUGGAGGAAUACCGGUGGCGAAGGCAGCCCCCUGGGAUAACACUGACGUUCAUGCUCGAAAGCGUGGGUAGCAAACA
rnacentral:rRNA from 1 species